CCCUCACUGACCUACUCCAUAACUCCCUUUAUUUUGACUUUGCCCAUGUUGCAUGUAUAAGAUCCAUUCUUAUUUUCAAGGGCAUAAUCACAUCUUCAUUUGGAUUUUUAAUAAAGACUAAGGCAACACCAGAAGAUGACAGAAAUUUCACUGUAAAUGCCACCUACACAUAGCAACACAUGAUUUAUUUUUUAAAUACAUAUUGGUGACUUACCCAAAGCUCUCCAAGCCUAUUUCCUCAUCUACAAAAUGGUAGUAACAAUAUCUAUCUUUUACACUUGUUGAGCAAAUUAAAAAUAUAUGUGCUAAACUACUAGCACCAACUGGCACAUAAGGGGUAGUCAAAAAACAGUCCUUAUUCACAGCCCCAACCCCUACUCUCACCUUAGAACAGGUGACAGUUCUCUGGAUGUGUUUACACUGUGUGUCCAUCACCCUUCUCCCGGGCUCUCCCCAGUCACAACCAUGUUUUGGAAGAGAAGACACUGUAGGAAUACUUCACUAGCAUUUUCUCUCUUCUACCUUCCCAAUUAUUUGGUCCCAGAUGUUGACUUCACUUCUCAAUGUCCUUCCCUGCCCAUCACCCACAAUCAGUACCAAGUCAGCAACUUGUGAUAUAACAAGUAAAGCUUUUAAAUUGCCUUGGCUUAAAAAGUGAUGAACAUGAAAAAAAUAUAUAUAUUGAAAAGCUCGAAUGGAAGAUGGGGUUAUUAGUAUUAUCACAAAAUAUAGAUAGCAUGAAAGAAAGAGAUGUGGGAAAUGUCAGAAUCAUUUUCUAACCUACACACAGAAAAAAGAUGGAAUUUCUUGUGGUAUAAUAAUGACAAUAAUUUAAAGCCUAUGGAUCUUUGAAAUAAAUAUAGGUAGCUUUCAAAAUCUCACUCACUGUGAAUUUGUCCUCUUUAGUGAGAACUAUAGGAAAGACCUGAAAGGUAAAAAUAUACACUAGCUGUACAACUACAUUUUGCCCAUCCUCACCACACUAUACAGACAGAUUGCAUUAGGCCUUCAAAUUGACAGCAUGGAAAAAAGCUUCCUUUUUUUAACUGCUUCUCACAUUACUUGCCUAAUUUCACACGUUUGUACAUUUAAUAGCUAAAAUCACUGACUACUCAUCCUUAUUCAGAUUUUUUUUAAAUUAACAAUUCUUUAAAAGUUAUAUUGUAAUCAUUGAAGUGUUUAUAUUUAUAAACCCCUCGGUUGUUUGCUCAAAGAUGUGAAGUGUUUCUGAAUGGUAGAUAACAAUUCCUUAAAAAUAACUCAAUAAAUCAACUCUACAGUUGGGAAAACUUGAUCCUUUGUCAGGCGUCCCUUAGCAAGAGCUUCUUACCAAAGUCUGGCUUAGCUGAUGAUUACUUUCUCAUCCUUAGCACAGAACCCUUAUCUCUGAAGGAGUUCUGAAUUUAAUCCCUGCAUACCCUGCGCUCUGCAGACAUAUCCCUGCUUCUCUUCAGAGCCCCCUCUUAUUUAAGAGUCUUUGCCCAUACUGAAUACCUACAACUUUUUCUGCACUUGAUGAUAACUGAAGUGGCUAACAGACUCAGACGCCAUUAACAAGUUUGGGCAGCACUGUAAGUAAUCCCAGAGAAUUUACUAGGGUUCUACUGAUUGCUUUCAGACCUUGCCUGAAUGCUCUGAGAAGCACAUAAGUUUCUAGUGGUACCGACCAUGGCUUCCCUAGUUAAGAGUUCCUAUCUGACCAAAAAAAAAAAAAAAAAAA